rnacentral:misc_RNA from 1 species
AGUAAGACUAGUCUGACUGACGCUUGGUUAGAACGCGGAGUAUUGUAAUAAAUGUAAUAUUGUGUAUCUAUUGUUUAGGGCUAUAAACGAAUAGGUUCAGCGUUAGUUAAUGACAUAGAAAAGGCGGUUGAUAGCAUUUACAACUCAAGCCAUCUGGCUGGCCUGGUGUGAUUUUGAAACUUAAGACGUUAAGUUAGAAAUUGCACAUUUGCAGCACAAGAAUGGACAAGAUAAAAAACACUUUCAAAAGGCCCCAAGUUUUUUACAAAACAGGGAACAGUCUCUCUAUAGUAAACUUUUAAGGAUGACUGUGUUUUCAUGAAAUAUUGUUAACAAAGAGACAUCCAAAUUGUGUUGUGUUUAGAAGACUUCGGUUCUCUAUGACAACUGUGAACCUUGACAAUAGCUCUGCAAUGUACAUUUCAUUGCAAAAGGAUCCAUCAUCCAUCCAAAGGAUACCACUCAUUCCCGCUGGCUGUUCAUAAUCGAUCUAAAAUAUGAGAAUAUGGUUUCUCAGCACCCAAUUAUUUUAGAGUCGAUCCUAUUGCACAGAAAUCCACAGGCUUUGCAUAUUGCAACUUGAUCAGUAUGUCUUUUUAUGAAAUAGCAUGAAUAUAUGUUUCAUUCUCCAUCUAUUUGAGGCAUGUGAUUGUUAAACAAGAGAUGACUGAAAGCCUUAUUUUGGUGAAUUUAUAUCCUGUUCUCCUCAUUUCUGGAUAAUCUCCCUUAUUGAUUAUAUUGCGUACUGUUGCUUUGGGCAUGUGAGCAUCAUGUGCUAUUGACCUUUGUUUUUAUGCAUUCUCACCUGUUACAAGAUCGUGCACUUUGCAUUUAAAGACUUGUUGUAAGCUUGUUUCUGAAUAGACCUGGUGUCCCACGUUAAGCCAUAUUCCCUUUUCCAAUGACAUUAAUUAUAAGGAAUAUCCCUGUCUUUGAAAUUCUAAAUCCAUAAUCUGAAUGCACCCUUAUGCUCUGAGUGUAUGGAUAUGUUGCAUCAGAAAGGGCUGUUACAUACUCUUCUUAAAAACUAUAAAUAUAUGAUUGCAUGCAUACACUACCUAUGCAAUGCCAAACAAUGUUAAAAGGUAGUUCUGAUACAUGCUUUAUUCCUGCUGUCAUUAUCAUGUGGCUUUUUCAUUUCAAAAUUGUUUUAAUAUAAUGUACUCAAUCUCUGUACAAUAUAAUAUAUAUCCUAACCAUUAUGAUACAGAAGCUUAAACUCUUGAUUCAUGUAGCUAAAGAGAGUAUAACUUUUAAUUAGAACUGUAUUUGUAAAUAAUGUGAUACCACAAUUUCUGUAAGACAAUAGCAUGUUUACAAUAUUUUUAUAGACCGAAGCCAGAAAGUAGAAUAAGAAUGCUUUAACUAGAUUGUUAUGCUUUGGCAAAAUCCUUGGAGAAAUAGGUAAAAGAAAUCAUGUAUCUGUGUACUGGUGUGCAUCUGUCUUAUUAUUCUUCAGUCCUAGGUAUUUCUAUACUUCAGUAUUUGAGCAAACCAAAAUGAAGUAAUGAAUAUUUAAAAUGGAACUAAGUAAACAUCAAAAAUUUAAUGUAUAAGGGAUCUGUGAAAAAAUAUUUAUAUAUAUAUGUAUGUAUGUAUAUAUGUACUUAGUGAUGGUUUCAGGUUUUUCCAUCCUGCCAAAUUUAUAAACAUUUGUAGGAAUUCGUGCUUUCUUUUUCACUUAAAGGAUGUGAUUAUUAAAGUUUGAGUACGUAAAUACUUGUUUCCAGUUUACCUUUAGCUUCUGACCAAAAGUAUUCAUGUAUAUGAUACAUAAAACUUGAAAAUAAAAGUUUAAUAUUAUACAGAACAGUAUUUGUAUUUGUAUAAAUAAAAAUGCAUAUUUACUCACUAGGUAUAAAUUAAAUGUUCAGUUUAGUGUAAUGAAGUGAGCUCUGACUCACUAACUUGAGGGAUAAAGUAUAAAAAAAAAUGUGCUUGCUGUUCCAUUUUAUGAAAUAAAGUGAAAAGGUUACUAGUUUCAGUACGAUCAGGUUACAGUUACAUAAACUGAGCUGAUGAUGUUAUCAGUAUAUUUGGUAAGCAUUUAUUCUCUGUUAUAAAAUCAUUACUUUUCUUCCUGUUUAAGUAGCCAUGUAGCCACAUAGGCAACAUGUUAGUUUGUAGCAUACUUGCAGUUUCCAGGAAGUGAUUAUACAUGUUCUUAUAAAUAAAUUAAAAAAAUGUAUACGAUUUUACAGUUUUUUGUACUUGAUGUUAAUGGCCUGUUGUAAUUUAAUCCAGCAUAUAUUUUUUUUAGUAUGUUCCAUCAGUUAUGAAUAUAAGAUGGAUAUUUCUAAUAAGACAUCACAUAUAAAUAGUUAUUCUGUGCUGUUUAAAAAGUUUGUGUCAAAAUGAUUUCUAAACCAUAUCUUGUUACUGUUCACACUUGGAAAACAUUCUGUACUGUUACAGAAAGAAAUUAGCAGCUGUUUACUGUAUUAUACCAGUAAGAGAAUUAAGUAAAAAGUUAUUCUAUUAGAAUAAUAUUACAAAGUUAGGAGUGCUAAAAAGAUUGCACAUUUCACCUGUGUUUUUAAAAACAUAAACCACUCACAAUCUAAAGGUUGAUCCAAGAUAGUCAAAUCUGUCUGAAAUGACAGAUUUUUUAACUUCAGUAUUUUCCAACAUUUUAUUUCAUUGUUGUUUAGCUACUUUAACCCAUGGAUAUGAAUCUGUUGUUAGCUGUUGUUGUAUAACUGUUUAUGGUGUUUGUUGUGUAGAAUCUUAAAUAGAUUACCAGUGGACCACUCUCAUGUGAAGGUUAUUUCCCAUGGAAAAUACAAUAAAAUUUGUUUUUUCUCAGAAAAAUAUGAUUAAGUGGAACUAUAUAAUGCUACCCCUGAUGAUUGUAACUUGCUGAAGUAUUUAAA